UUAAUUGAAGCCAAUUAGGCAGUUUAUUGUUAAUAAACUUUUUGAGUUUUUCUCCUGUUAAA
rnacentral:tRNA from 2 species